GAAAGCCAGCCCACCUCUCAUUCCCCAGAGGUCCCACUGGCUUUCCCUAUACAGUCCCACUGGUGACCUCUGCUCGCUGCAGAGGAGCAUGUUGACUCACUUUCUCCUACACCACACAUGUCCUGUCUAAGGUACAGAGACAACAAGGAGGCCACCCUAGCCCUGGAGAAUCCCACCGAUGCUGGCCACAUCAACACAUAUACUAAUCAUCUGGUCUUAUAACUACCCUGUGAGAAAGUCCUAUGAUGGCUUUCAUUUUACAGAUCCAGAAAUCAGCACAUCAGCAAACCGUUAGAGUAGAUCAAAGUUCCAGAGUCAGCAUGCAGAUAAUGCUACAGGAUCACAGAAAAUACUUACGGAGUUCUUUCCAAGGGCCGCAGAUCAAGUGAUGUUUUGCCAAAACGACUGAAAAUCAAGUCUUAGAGCAACGAGCAGCUUUCGACUUUGCUCCCCCUUUGCCACUUACUGUGCCUGGUUGCUACUUUCAAUGUAAACUUCCCCACUCUCACACAUUGUUCACGUGUCUCCAAGAAGCACUCUCCUCCAGUCAUCCUCUGUGGCAUCUACACGGAGUACCUGCAGGCACGUGCACUGUAGAAUGUAACACCACCACACCAGCUUUCCAUUUCCUCAGUGAGCAUGGGAGAUUGCACAGCGGUGCACGGUGCCCUGUCAGAUGUAAGGGGAUACAGACACGAGCCACAGCAACAAGUGUGUGCAGAGACAGCAGGCCUCACCUGCCACCGUGUGCAGUGUCCAGCACAGUGUCCAAGGCAGCAUCCAGCAUAACGUCCGGCAGAGUGUCCAGCACAGUGGCCCUGAGUUGGCUGCGGCCCAGCUGCCCCUCAACCCAACUUGAACCUGGUCUUGGAGGCACGAGGAGCCAUGAACCACCUGGGUCAAAAAACACCACCAAGAAACAAAUGCAUUUCCUCUGCACCUCCCUUUGCUCAUCAUCAGGGCAGAUGUGCUGCAAGUGCUUUGCAUGGGGCAACUGUGCCCCACCCGAGGUCCCUUCCAUUUCCACAGUUCCUGGGCCUUCAUACUCAAUGCCAGUUUUGGGAUGAGGUUGCUUCUGUCUGAGUGGGCCCCACACCCUCCAGAAACCCUGGUUUCUCUCAUUUUCCACGCUGAGCUCAGCACACUGAGUAGCCUGUCCAGGGUGACCUUUCAUUACACAGGGCCCCAUCACACAUGCCUCUGAGAUGCACCACCAGCUCAGGCUAGCUGGCCACCCCCUGCCUUUAGUCUCUGGCCAUUUUUUUCUUUUCUUUUCCCUUGUUUAUUCAGGAAUGCAGAAACAGACUUAUCAGACAUUGCCUUGAAAGGCAUUAAUAGGUUAAAGGCAAACCAAACCCAAAGCCAAUCCAGGCAUCAUUUUCUGUGGAGAGGAUACAGACAUCUCUGGUGCAUGGGACUCUCCACCCCUCCCCAAGGGACUGGAAGCACUCCAUAGACACCUGCUGCCCCAGAUGCCCAAGACCUGAUUGCUCCUGAGGCAACUUCCACUUGUGAUCACGUUUUCGUGAAGGAAAAACUAGGGAGAAGAAUAUGGAAGCAGCUCACGGCGUCUGAUGGUUCUGUUUGCUGAAGCUAGUCUGGCCUCUUUCAGGACUGAAUGCGGAUCUAAAGUCAUCCCUGCAAGCUGUUUUAGAACAAAAUGACAAGCCUCUAAGUAACUAGGUUGCUAUAACCAGGUGAUUUCAGGUUACUAGAGGCAGUUUGCAGGAAGGUGUUCCUCCCCCAGUGUGAAUUCCAGCCU
rnacentral:lncRNA from 12 species